ACGAACGCUGGCGGCGUGCUUAACACAUGCAAGUCGAACGAAAAGAGGGAAAGAGCUUGCUCUUUCCGGAAUUGAGUGGCAAACGGGUGAGUAACACGUAAACAACCUGCCUUCAGGAUGGGGACAACAGACGGAAACGACUGCUAAUACCGAAUAAGUUCCAAGGGCCGCAUGGCCCAUGGAAGAAAAGGUGGCCUCUACCUGUAAGCUAUCGCCUGAAGAGGGGUUUGCGUCUGAUUAGCUGGUUGGAGGGGUAACGGCCCACCAUGGCGACGAUCAGUAGCCGGUCUGAGAGGAUGAACGGCCACACUGGAACUGAGACACGGUCCAGACUCCUACGGGAGGCAGCAGUGGGGAAUCUUCCGCAAUGGGCGAAAGCCUGACGGAGCAACGCCGCGUGAGUGAUGACGGCCUUCGGGUUGUAAAACUCUGUGAUCCGGGACGAAAAGGCAGAGUGCGAAGAACAAACUGCAUUGACGGUACCGGAAAAGCAAGCCACGGCUAACUACGUG
rnacentral:rRNA from 1 species